GAGAGUAUAGCUCAGUGGUAGAACACGUGCUUAGCAUGCACAGGGUCCUGGGUUCAAUCCUCAGUACCUCCA
rnacentral:tRNA from 1 species